ACUAGGUCACUUCCCCUUAUGUGAGAGAGGGAAUACAGCUAGCGUUGUGUUGCCAUGGCACCUCACCUCUUGUUCCGCCGCCUCCGUUGUUAUGGGCGCCCGGGGCUCUCUACGGUGUCUCUGCCUCCAGCCGCCAGCGCUACCCGCCCGGAUGUUUACAGCGGGAGCAAAGGGAGAAUAAUGAUCAAAUCUCUCCAAUGAACCACUACUCUCUUCGUCUAGAACAGCACUGUCAUACUCAACAGGAUCUAUACAGGAUCUCCGGAUGGAAUUUUCAAAUCACAUUACAUAUGGGAGAAUAAUGAUCAAAUCUCUCCAAUGAACCACUACUCUCUUCGUCUAGAACAGCACUGUCAUACUCAACAGGAUCUAUACAGGAUCUCCGGAUGGAAUUUUCAAAUCACAUUACAUAUGGGAGAAUAAUGAUCAAAUCUCUCCAAUGAACCACUACUCUCUUCGUCUAGAACAGCACUGUCAUACUCAACAGGAUCUAUACAGGAUCUCCGGAUGGAAUUUUCAAAUCACAUUACAUAUGGGGAGAAUAAUGAUCAAAUCUCUCCAAUGAACCACUACUCUCUUCGUCUAGAACAUCACUGUCAUACUCAACAGGAUCUAUACAGGAUCUCCGGAUGGAAUUUUCAAAUCACAUUACAUAUGCAUAAGUGUCUCGUCUACUCCGUAAAGUGAAAUUUCAACGGUUCAGUUCUGUACCAGACUUUUAAAACAGAUAUAAUUUACGUUCGGUAGCUAUGUUCCCUUGGCUUGAGUGUGGUUUUCCCUUGUAUUCUAAAUAAUGUGUCCUCUCUGUUCCUUUAGAAUUAGAUAGAAUCUGUCCUUUGUGUAAUACCCGUGCCAGUUUCACUCACAUUGAAUAUAUUCUGUUUCAAUAAACUUCAGUUCUCCAGCU